AAACGUUCGUAGUUGAACUUUUGUCUGGCUCAAUUUAUUUUAUUUCGAUAAAAUUUAAAUUGUUCAAGCUAUGACGUUUUUACUGACCGAAAGAACUCGAAAAAAAUUUAUUAAUUUAUUUUUUUAGUAGAGGUCUUUCAAUAUAUUAAAUUAUGUUCCUAUAUGUUUGAUCUUGAUCGAUUGUGACAUUAGGACCAGUACUAUUUACUUUGAACAAAUUAUAGUGCUCAAAGCAGGCCUAACACAGCCUAAGUAUUUUUGCAUGGAAUAAUGGAAUAAGAUGUCAAUUUUAUUUUGUUUGGUUUGUAAAAUAAAGACAUAAUGAUUAAUAGAAGUAGUUGGGGACAUUAGUAUUACUUGGCGAGAGGUGAAAUUCUUAGACCCUUGUAAGACUUACAUAAGCGAAAGCAUUUGUCAAAGAUGCUUUCUUUAAUCAAGAACGAAAGUUAGGGGAUCGAAGGCGAUCAGAUACCGCCCUAGUCCUAACCAUAAACUAUGUCAACCAGCAAUUAGAUGUAGCUACUACUAUGGCUCUUCUAGGCGCUUCCAGGAAACAUUAAGUUGAUUCCGGGGGAAGUAUGGUUGCAAAAAUGAAACU
rnacentral:rRNA from 1 species